rnacentral:rRNA from 1 species
CGUGUAGGUGGUUAGAUAAGUCAGAUGUGAAAGCUUCCGGCUUAACCGGGAAACUGCAUUUGAAACUGUUUAGCUUGAGUGCGAGAGAGGGUAGCGGAAUUCCCAGUGUAGCGGUGAAAUGCGUAGAUAUUGGGAAGAACACCAGUAGCGAAGGCGGCUACCUGGCUCGCAACUGACGCUAAUGCGCGAAAGCGUGGGGAGCAAACA